rnacentral:rRNA from 1 species
AGCAGCAGCCGCGGGAAUACGAAGGGGGCUAGCGUUGCUCGGAAUGACUGGGCGUAAAGGGCGCGUAGGCGGCGGCCAAAGUCAGGCGUGAAAUUCCCGGGCCCAACCUGGGGGCUGCGUUUGAUACUUGGUUGCUUGAGUGGGGAAGAGGGUCGUGGAAUUCCCAGUGUAGAGGUGAAAUUCGUAGAUAUUGGGAAGAACACCGGUGGCGAAGGCGGCGACCUGGUCCUUGACUGACGCUGAGGCGCGAAAGCGUGGGGAGCAAACAGGAUUAGAUACCCGCGUAGUCCCUGUCUCUUAUAC